UACGUAGGGACCGAGCGUUGUCCGGAAUCAUUGGGCGUAAAGAGCGUGUAGGCGGCCAGACAGGUCCGUUGUGAAAACUCGAGGCUCAACCUCGAGACGCCGAUGGAAACCGUCUGGCUAGAGUCCGGAAGAGGAGGAGUGGAAUUCCUGGUGUAGCGGUGAAAUGCGCAGAUAUCAGGAAGAACACCCGUGGCUAAGGCGGCUCUCUGGGACGGUACUGACGCUGAGACGCGAAAGCGUGGGGAGCGAACAGG
rnacentral:rRNA from 1 species